UAAUCCUGUAUGUAAUCCAUAGGGUGUGUU
rnacentral:piRNA from 1 species